GAUCCUGGCUCAGGAUGAACGCUAGCGACAGGCUUAACACAUGCAAGUCGAGGGGCAGCGGGGUGUAGCAAUACACCGCCGGCGACCGGCGCACGGGUGAGUAACGCGUAUCCAACCUGCCCAUCACUUGGGAAUAACCUUGCGAAAGUAAGACUAAUGCCCAAUGACAUCCCACGAAGGCAUCCGAAUGGGAUUAAAGAUUUAUCGGUGAUGGAUGGGGAUGCGUCUGAUUAGUCG
rnacentral:rRNA from 1 species